UCUCUGAUAGCUCAGUUGGUAAAGAAUCUGCCUGUAAUGCAGGAGAUCCUGGUUUGAUUCCUGGGUCAGGAA
rfam:Ovis aries breed Texel chromosome 3, whole genome shotgun sequence.